rnacentral:rRNA from 1 species
CGGGGUGCACCAGGCGCGAAAACUUUGCAAUACACGAAAGUGUGACAGGGUCAUCCCGAGUGCCGACCGCUGAGGUUGGCUUUUACCCAGUCUAGAAAGCUGGGGGAAUAAGGAGAGGGCAAGUCUGGUGUCAGCCGCCGCGGUAAUACCAGCUCUCCGAGUGGUGUGGACGUUUAUUGGGCCUAAAGCAUCCGUAGCUGGCUGAACAAGUCCCCUGUUAAACCCACCGAUUUAAUCGUUGGUCUGCGGGGGAUACUGCUCGGCUAGGGGACGAGAGAGGCAGACGGUAUUCCCGGGGUAGGGGUGAAAUCCUAUAAUCCCGAGAAGACCACCAGUGGCGAAGGCUGUCUGCUAGAACGCGCCCGACGGUGAGGGAUGAAAGCUGGGGGAGCGAACCGGAUUAGAUACCCGGGUAGUCCCAGCUGUAAACGAUGCAGACUAGGUGUUUGGACGGCCACGUGCCGUUCUAGUGCCGCAGGGAAGCUGUUAAGUCUGCCGCCUGGGGAGUACGAUCGCAAGAUUGAAACUUAAAGGAAUUGGCGGGGGA